rnacentral:rRNA from 1 species
AUUGAACGCUGGCGGCAGGCCUAACACAUGCAAGUCGAGCGAGCGGCGGACGGGUGAGUAAUGUCUGUGAAACUGCCUGCUGGAGGGGGGGAACUACUGGAAACGGUAGCUAAUACCGCAUACCAUCAGAUGUGCGCAGAUGGGAUUAGCUAGUUGGUGGGGUAUAGGCUCACCUAGGCGACGAUCCCUAGCUGGUCUGAGAGGAUGACCAGCCACACUGGAACUGAGACACGGUCCAGACUCCGACGGGAGGCAGCAGUGGGGAAUAUUGCACAAUGGGCGAAAGCCUGAUGCAGCCAUGCCGCGUGUGUGAAGAAGGCCUUCGGGUUGUAAAGUACUUUCAGCGGGGAAGCGGUACCCGCAGAAUAAGCACCGGCUAACUCCGUGCCAGCAGCCGCGGUAAUUC